rnacentral:rRNA from 1 species
CCCUUAGAUGUUCUGGGCCGCACGCGCGCUACACUGACGAAGUCAGCGAGCAUGUCCUACGCCGACAGGUGCGGGGAAUCUUGUCAAACUUCGUCGUGAUGGGGAUUGAUUAUUGAAAUUCUUGAUCAUCAACGAGGAAUUCCUAGUAAGCGCAAGUCAGCAGCUUGCGUUGAUUACGUCCCUGCCCUUUGUACACACCGCCCGUCGCUACUACCGAUUGAAUGGUUUAGUGAGAUCUCCGGAUUGGCGCCACUGCGGCUCAGCAAUGGGCUCGGUGGAUGCCGAAAAGUUGAUCAAACUUGAUCAUUUAGAGGAAGUAAAAGUCGUAACA